CAUAGAAUUCAUCCCAAAAAGAGAAAAAAGAAAAUUUUAAAAGAGAGUUUUGAUGCCAAUGGGUUUAAAGAGAGAGUCCAUAUUAUUUUUUAGUGUUAUGCUUCUUCUCCUUUUAUGUAUGGCAGCAGGGAGACUCAUCCAUACUACUUUACUUCAUGCAGAUCAUGAGACGAUGAAUAUGGAUGGGAAGAAUAGGGAUGGGAGUCGACUUCUGAGUUCGGCUCUGCCUAGAGGUGGCAACUAUAUUGACAACCCACAGGUGGCAAACAAGGUCGCGGUCCAUCGCUCCGGCUACCACCCAUGACGACGGCUAUCGAAACUGGUUAUGAGAAAGUGUAGUACUUGAUUUAUUAUAUAUAUUGUGGCCGAGGUAUUAUGAAUAAACAAGGGUUUUAUAAGUCCAAC